UUUACAAUCAGGUGACCCAGUAUCCAUACAAGGUGGCGCUCAACCCAGAACAUGUACGUACAAGUUACAUGGUGGGUGGUGACAGCGGCCUGAUUGUCUUCAUUGACACUUGUGAGACCUCCCCCUACUCCACUUUCCAUAGCAGGCGCCUUAUCUGGUCCGAAAUGGAUGUACUAUGGACAACAGUUACUACUCUUACGUCUCCGGCAGCAGAAAUUAUGCACGUUUUACCUUCAAGGCCUUCCAGUUCCUACGGGCGUCAGAGUCCGUGUACAUGAGGUGCACAGUUGCCAUAUGUCCAUCUCUGACUACAACUCCCGCU